CGGUAGUGUUUAGUGCUUGAUGAGUAGUGAUUUGUGUGUUCUUUUCAGAAUUAUACUCAUGUUGGAUAUGUACUAACUAUAGGAGCCAUUUCCAAAAGAAAAAUGGAUAAACCUAUCUUCGAUUCGAGGAUUCGAGGAGUUCCAGGAUUAUUUUUGGUCUUUCAGGUACUUUCUUUGAAGUAGUUUCCUCCUUUAGCGUUUUUCAAGAAUUUAAUGUCUAUGUAUUCCAUCCACUUUAUCCGAUAUAGUAUAAACCAUUUUGGAUAUUCCAAAAAGCAACGAAAAAGAAAACUCAAACAACACUUAAUCACUGACAGUACCACGCGUUCGGAGGCUAAUCUCAACACUCUCGCUCAAAUUCGUUAGAUGAGAUAAAGGAUGCACACAGCCAGGCAUCUAGGUAACAUACAGUUUGUCCACCAAGAGGAUACAGGGCAGGAAAGGUUGCUAUCUGUCAUUGUCAUUAACAGGGGCUACUGGAAAUAAAGAAUAAUUUAACCAUAACAUAGGAACAACGGAACCUACUUUGAAAAGUUUCCUCUACAUCUGAAUUACGAUGCUUUUUCUCUGGAUUUAAUUUCCCUUUUAGUACAAUAAAAUAUUUUAGCCAAUUUGUAAUCCACAUGUCCAAACCAUACAGAAAAUACCCAGAAGAGGCAAGGUAUUGAAGAAAGAUGGUUAUUUUGAUCACUUUGAUUAUGCGUGUUAAAAACAA